UACGUAGGGUGCGAGCGUUGUCCGGAAUUAUUGGGCGUAAAGAGCUCGUAGGCGGUUUGUCGCGUCUGCUGUGAAAACUCGGGGCUUAACCCCGGGCCUGCAGUGGGUACGGGCAGACUAGAGUGCGGUAGGGGAGACUGGAAUUCCUGGUGUAGCGGUGAAAUGCGCAGAUAUCAGGAGGAACACCGGUGGCGAAGGCGGUUCUCUGGCAAUGUUCUGACGCUGAGGAGCGAAAGUGUGGGAGGCGAACAGG
rnacentral:rRNA from 1 species